AGUACUUGAUUAUCAACCUACCUUAAAGCAAGGGGAAAUCCCUUAUAUUAACAAAGGUUAUUCCGCUUUAAGAUGAUUAGAUAAAUCAUAGAGAUAGGUAGUUGUUAAGGUAAUGGCUUAACUAGCCCAAAAUUCUCUUAGUCGAAACUGAAAUGGUUGAUCGACCACAUUGGGGCUGAAAAAAACCCAGUACAAGUGAGUACAGCAGUGGGGAAUAUUGGUCAAUGGCCUAACGGCUGAACUGGCAACUUGGAGGAAUGGCCUAUCUUAUUAAGUAAAUAGUAAGAAUUAGAGUGAAAUGAUGGUUAAAUCGAUUAUCGAAUAAAAUUCUAAAUAUAUAAAUUAUAAUGACUAUAUAUAUUUAUGUCUUGACUAAUUACGUGCCAGCAGUCGCGGUAAUACGUAAGAGACUAGUGUUACUCAUUUUUAAUAGGUUUAAAGGGUACCCAGACGGAAGAAAUUUGCCUGGAAAGGAACAAUUUCUAUCUAGAGUUUAAUAUAAGAAGGUCGUACUUGUGGAAUAGAGAUGAAAUACUUUUAUACCUAAUAAGGGACUGGUAAAGGCGAAAGCAACCUUUUAUGUAAAAACUGACGUUGAAGGACGAAGGCUUAGAACACGAAUAGGAUUAGAUACCCUAGUAGUCUUAGCAGAAAAUGAUGAAUGUCAUAGGUUAGGUUAUACUUAGUCUAUAAAUGAAAAUGUAAGCAUUUCACCUCAAGAGUAACGUGGCAACACGGAAACUGAAAUCACUAGACCGUUUCUGACAUCAGUAGUGAAGUAUGUUAUUUAAUUCGAUGAUCCACGAAAAACCUUACCACAAUUAGAAUUGUAUUUAUACUAUUUAUAUUAUAAAUAUAACGAGUGUUGCACGGCUGUUUCCAGUUAAUGUUGUGAAACUAUGGCUUCGGCCAUGAAAUUAACGAAAACCCUUGCUUUAUUUAUAAAUAUUUUUUAAUAAAGCUGCUUUUAUCAUCAUACCGAUAAAAUAGUAGGGCCAAAGACAAGUCAUCAUGGCCUUUAUAUUGUGGGCUAUAGACGUGCCACAUAUUCCUAGACAAAGAGAUGCGAAAAUGCGAAUUUAAGCUAAUCUCAAAAAAUAGGAUAAAAUAGGAUAAGGAUUGUAGUCUGAAACUCGACUACAUGAAUAAGUAAUUACUAGUAAUCGUGAAUCACCAUGUCACGGUGAAUAAUAUCUCGGAUUGGUACUAACCACUCG
rnacentral:rRNA from 1 species